CAGGCACACAGUCUCCCCGUGCCCCUGCAAGUGCCAGCUGCAGGCUGGUGCYGAGUGCAAGUCCAAGACUGUACAGAUCAGCCUGGGGGUUGCUUCCAUAUUUUCUUUUGCUUUCAAUCCCGAGGUCUGGGCUUUGGCUACGUUUCUAUCCUAGACUCUGCCUGCUAACCACAUCACCCUUAACUUGUGACAAACCUGCAUGUCAYCUUUUUUUUUUCUAGAGCAGUACUGCAGUUCUUUGAAAAAAUGAAGACCUCUACAAGUACUUGUAACGACGUGCUCCAUGAACGAGUUUGUUCUCAGUCACCGCUCGGCUCAUGCGUAGGAUGACAGUGUAUCUAUGGAAGGAAGUCUCCUAAAUAAGACCAGAGAUGUUACUCCAUUCCAUUCCCGUUGCCUGGAAUCCCCAUGAACAUUAUGGAGGAAGAAGUGUCUCCGGCAAACCAGCAAUAUGUCCACUUCUGGAUUCAGAUGGAACAACUGAAAACUAUCAUCCCUGGCUGAAAAUUACUACACACACAAUUUUCUCUGCAUCAUGGAAAGUAUGAUAGCUCCCUGGGCCACCWCAGUACAAAGUCAGCCAGGAUAGCUCAAACACCCUUCAUCGAUUAAAGCUAAGGSAACCAAGUUUGCACUAAAGAAUGUCC
rnacentral:lncRNA from 1 species